rnacentral:tRNA from 1 species
GAAAUAAUUACAAAAUAAGCUUCUAACUUAAUUUAUAGCGAUAAAAAAUCGUUAUUAUUUCU